ACGGGGCCGGCAGGCCUCCCCGGCCCGCGGCCGGCCCCCGCGUUGUGGAUGGACUAGAUGCUCCUGAGUAUUCCCACUAAGACGGCGGCCAGCGUUUGGGGAUGGGUUUAAUCAGUGUAUCCAGCGUUAACAAACAGAAUGUCACUCUCUGCUUCCUGAUCAACGUGUGAGCUGCUUCCCUCUGCCACACUCCUCUGCCCUGACGUCCUGCUGGAGCACCAGGGAAUGAAGCCGCCUUCUAUGGACUGAGACCUCUGAACCCAUGACCCCUGCCUUGUGUAUGCCUUGGCCACUCACCUGCCAUCUGCCGCUGUGGACCUCUGGACUGCUCUGAUGCUGGAUGCUAUCCCCGCCCCAUCUAAGAGAGAACAAGGACUUGGGUGACUUCUCCCAACUUCUCCCACUUUCAGCAGGAAACACUUUGGAGAUGUCCUUGCCCAUUUUUCCAUAGAAAUGGAUUGUAGAAAUUGAUAGUGGGAAAUGUAACAGAGGUCCACUUUAUGCUUGGAAUAUAGCCCUUGCUGCUCUGCCAUGCA